CCUACGUGUGACAGCAGUGAGGAAUAUUGGUCAAUGGGCGCGAGCCUGAACCAGCCAAGUAGCGUGAAGGAUGACUGCCCUACGGGGUGUAAACUUCUUUUAUAAAGGAAUAAAGUGAGGCACGUGUGCCUCUUUGUAUUUACUUUAUGAAUAAGGCUCGGCUAACUCCGUGCCAGCAGACGCGGUAAUACGGAGGAUCCGAUCGUUAAUCGGAUUUAUUGGGUUUAGAGGGAGCGUAGAUGGGUUGUUAAGUCAGUUGGGAAAGUUUGCGGCUCAACCGUAAAAUUGCAAUUGAUACUGGCAGUCUUGAGUACAGUUGAGGUAGGCGGAAUUCGUGGUGUAGCAGUGAAAUGCUUAGAUAUCACGAAGAACUCCGAUUGCGAAGGCAGCUGACUAAACUGCCACUGACAUUGAUGCUCGAAAGUGUGGGUAUCAAACAGGAUUAGAUACCCGGGUAGUC
rnacentral:rRNA from 1 species